GAUGAACGCUAGCGGCAGGCCUAAUACAUGCAAGUCGAGGGGCAGCAUAGUAGCAAUACUGAUGGCGACCGGCGCACGGGUGCGUAACGCGUAUGCAACCUACCCAUUACUGAGGGAUAGCCCGGAGAAAUUCGGAUUAAUACCUCAUGGUAUCAAGGACAGGCAUUUGUUUUUGAUUAAAGAUUUAUCGGUAAUGGAUGGGCAUGCGUCAGAUUAGCUAGUUGGCGGGGUAACGGCCCACCAAGGCGAUGAUCUGUAGGGGGUCUGAGAGGAUGAUCCCCCACACUGGUACUGAGAUACGGACCAGACUCCUACGGGAGGCAGCAGUAGGGAAUAUUGGUCAAUGGGCGAGAGCCUGAACCAGCCAUGCCGCGUGCAGGAAGAAGGCCCUCUGGGUUGUAAACUGCUUUUGACCAGGGCCAAAAAUACUCAUGCGUGAGGAAUUGAGAGUACUGGUAGAAUAAGCACCGG
rnacentral:rRNA from 1 species